GCCAAAUGAUGUCACUUGGAUGGCAUGAGCACUCUGUGCAAAGAUGACCUUCAUCUAUCACUCAAAGCUGAUGGCU